rnacentral:rRNA from 1 species
UGGGGAAUAUUGCACAAUGGGCGCAAGCCUGAUGCAGCCAUGCCGCGUGUGUGAAGAAGGCCUUCGGGUUGUAAAGCACUUUCAGCGGGGAGGAAGGCGUUAAGGUUAAUAACCUUGGCGAUUGACGUUACCCGCAGAAGAAGCACCGGCUAACUCCGUGCCAGCAGCCGCGGUAAUACGGAGGGUGCAAGCGUUAAUCGGAAUUACUGGGCGUAAAGCGCACGCAGGCGGUCUGUCAAGUCGGAUGUGAAAUCCCGGGGCUCAACCUGGGAACUGCAUUCGAAACUGGCAGGCUAGAGUCUUGUAGAGGGGGGUAGAAUUCCAGGUGUAGCGGUGAAAUGCGUAGAGAUCUGGAGGAAUACCGGUGGCGAAGGCGGCCCCCUGGACAAAGACUGACGCUCAGGUGCGAAAGCGUGGGGAGCAAACAGG